UACGUAGGGUCCAAGCGUUAUCCGGAAUUACUGGGCGUAAAGCGUGUGUAGGCGGCGCGUUAAGUGCAACGCGAAAUCUUGCGGCUCAACCGGUAUAGACUGUGUUGCAUACUGGCGUGCUCGAGGACGUGAGAGGCAAGUGGAAUUUGUAGUGUAGCAGUGAAAUGCGUAGAUAUUACAAGGAACACCAAUGGCGAAGGCAGCUUGCUGGCACGUAUCUGACGCUGAGACACGAAAGCGUGGGGAGCGAACAGG
rnacentral:rRNA from 1 species